GCGUGAAGCCUCCUUCAAGAUGAGAUUUCCCAUAGCGUAAGCUAGUAAGACCCCUUGAAGACUACAAGGUUGAUAGGUCAGAGGUGUAAGUAUGGUAACAUAUUUAGCUGACUGAUACUAAUAGGUCGAGGGCUUGACCAA
rnacentral:rRNA from 1 species